rnacentral:rRNA from 1 species
GACGUAGGGUGCGAGCGUUGUCCGGAGUUAUUGGGCGUAAAGGGCGCGUAGGCGGCCUGGCGCGUCGCACGUGAAAGCCCACGGCUCAACCGUGGAGGGUCGUGCGAGACGGUCAGGCUGGAGGCAGGGAGAGGCUGGUGGAAUUCCCGGAGUAGUGGUGAAAUGCGUAGAGAUCGGGAGGAACACCGGAGGCGAAGGCGCCAGCUGGCCCUGACCUGACGCUGAGGCGCGAAGGCGUGGGGAGCGAACGGGAUUGAGAUACC